rnacentral:rRNA from 1 species
UACGUAGGGUGCGAGCGUUAAUCGGAAUUACUGGGCGUAAAGCGUGCGCAGGCGGUUUUGUAAGCCAGAUGUGAAAUCCCCGGGCUCAACCUGGGAAUGGCAUUUGGGACUGCAAGGCUGGAGUUUGGCAGAGGAGACUGGAAUUCCCGGUGUAGCAGUGAAAUGCGUAGAUAUCGGGAGGAAUACCGAUGGCGAAGGCAGGUCUCUGGGCUAUAACUGACGCUCAUGCACGAAAGCGUGGGGAGCAAACAGG